CCCUUAGAUGUUCUGGGCCGCACGCGCGCUACAAUGAUGCAGGCAACGAGUGCCGCUCCUUAGCCGAAAGGCUUGGGGAAUCUUGAAAACUGCAUCGUGCUAGGGAUAGAUGAUUGCAAUCGUGCAUCUUGAACGAGGAAUGCCUUGUAAGCGUGAGUCAUCAACUCGCGCUGAAUGCGUCCCUGCCCUUUGUACACACCGCCCGUCGCUCCUACCGAUUGGAUGGUCCGGUGAACUGGUCGGACUGCUGUUUGAAAUUGCGGGUGCAGUUGAUUCACGGGAAGUCUAGUAAACCUUAUCAUCUAGAGGAAGGAGAAGUCGUAACA
rnacentral:rRNA from 1 species